rnacentral:lncRNA from 1 species
GAUUGCUAAUGGAGCCCGAACCAGACAUUAUUCUCUGGUGAUUUAAUUUACAGUCUAAAAGUAUGAUGGUAUCUGGUUUAUCUAUUUUAAGGUUUAAGUGCAUGUAUUAUUGUCUUACUUGACCACUGUUUGAUUUUUGAGAAUUGAGACAUGAUUGCAUUACUUGAUGCAUGCUUAUUUGUUUAUGUGACUAUAUUUGAUUUGGUAACGAAAACUAAGGGAAAACAGGAAAGGGGUGUGAUCAAAUAAACAGAUAAGACGACAGCCUCACUAGAUAUCUUGGGAGAUGGUGGAC